AUUGAACGCUGGCGGCAUGCCUUACACAUGCAAGUCGAACGGUAACGCGGGGCAACCUGGCGACGAGUGGCGAACGGGUGAGUAAUGCAUCGGAACGUGCCCAGUAGUGGGGGAUAGCCCGGCGAAAGCCGGAUUAAUACCGCAUACGACCUACGGGUGAAAGGGGGGGAUCGCAAGACCUCUCGCUAUUGGAGCGGCCGAUGUCAGAUUAGGUAGUUGGUGGGGUAAAGGCCUACCAAGCCGACGAUCUGUAGCUGUUCUGAGAGGACGACCAGCCAAACUGGGACUGAGACACGGCCCAGACUCCUACGGGAGGCAGCAGUGGGGAAUUUUGGACAAUGGGCGAAAGCCUGAUUCAGCCAUGCCGCGUGAGGGAAGAAGGCCUUCGGGUUGUAAACCGCUUUUGUCAGGGAAGAAAUCUUCUGGGUUAAUACCUCGGGAGGAUGACGGUACCUGAAGAAUAAGCACCGGCUAACUACGUGCCAGCAGCCGCAGUAACAC
rnacentral:rRNA from 1 species